rnacentral:rRNA from 1 species
CCGAGUUGUAAUUUGCAGAGGAUGCUUUGGAAUCUGUCCCGUCUCAAGUCCUUUGGAACAGGGCGUCAAGGAGGGUGAAAAUCCCGUAUUUUCGGGCCACAGUUUCCGUGUAAAGCUCCUUCGAAGAGUCGAGUUGUUUGGGAAUGCAGCUCUAAGUGGGAGGUAAAUUUCUUCCAAAGCUAAAUAUCUGCUAGAGACCGAUAGCGCACAAGUAGAGUGAUCGAAAGAUGAAAAGCACUUUGAAAAGAGAGUUAAAAAGCACGUGAAAUUGUUGAAAGGGAAGCUCAUGCAGUCAGACAUGGUGUCGUCGGCUCAGCCUUUUGGUGUAUUCCGACGAUGCCAGGCUAGCAUCAGUCGGGGCAGCUGGAUAAAAGUUUUGGGAAUGUAGCUCCUCGGAGUGUUAUAGCCCGAUUCAGAAUGCAGUUCGUUCCGACUGAGGACCGCUUACAGGAUGCUGGCA